rnacentral:rRNA from 1 species
GAUGAACGCUGGCGGCGUGCCUAAUACAUGCAAGUCGAGCGAACAGACGAGGAGCUUGCUCCUCUGACGUUAGCGGCGGACGGGUGAGUAACACGUGGAUAACCUACCUAUAAGACUGGGAUAACUUCGGGAAACCGGAGCUAAUACCGGAUAAUAUAUUGAACCGCAUGGUUCAAUAGUGAAAGACGGUUUUGCUGUCACUUAUAGAUGGAUCCGCGCCGCAUUAGCUAGUUGGUAAGGUAACGGCUUACCAAGGCAACGAUGCGUACCCGACCUGAGAGGGGGAUCGGCCACACUGGAACUGAGACACGGUCCAGACUCCUACGGGAGGUAGCAGUAGGGAAUCUUCCGCAAUGGGCGAAAGCCUGACGGAGCAACGCCGCGUGAGUGAUGAAGGUCUUCGGAUCGUAAAACUCUGUUAUUAGGGAAGAACAAAUGUGUAAGUAACUAUGCACGUCUUGACGGUACCUAAUCAGAAAGCCACGGCUAACUACGUG